UGGCUCAGAACGAACGCUGGCGGCGUGCUUAACACAUGCAAGUCGAGCGGAAAGGCCCCUUCGGGGGUACACGAGCGGCGAACGGGUGAGUAACACGUGAGCAACCUACCCUCAACUUUGGGAUAAGCCUCGGAAACGGGGUCUAAUACCGAAUAUCAUCUCCUGCUUCAUGGUGGGGGGUUGAAAGUUCUGGCGGUUGGGGAUGGGCUCGCGGCCUAUCAGCUUGUUGGUGGGGUAAUGGCCUACCAAGGGGAAGACGGGUAGCCGGCCUGAGAGGGCGACCGGCCACACUUCUCCUGAGACACGGGAAGAACUCCUAC
rnacentral:rRNA from 1 species